rnacentral:rRNA from 1 species
ACUCAAAUGAAUAGACGGGGGCCCGCACAAGCAGCGGAGCGUGUGGUUUAAUUCGACGCAACACGCAGAACCUUACCGAGGCUGGACAUGCACCUGCAAGCGGGGGAAACACCGCUGCCUUCGAGGGUGGUGCACUGGUGCUGCAUGGCUGUCGUCAGCUCGUGUCGUGAGAUGUUGGGUUAAGUCCCGCAACGAGCGCAACCCUUGCCCCGUGUUAUGAGUGUCACGGGGGACUGCCGGUGGGUUCCACCGGAGGAAGGCGGGGAUGACGUCAAGUCCGCAUGGCCCGGACGCCUCGGGCGACACACACGCUACAAUGGUCGGCGCAGUGCGUUGCGACCCGGCAACGGGGAGCUAAUCGCGAAGGUCGGCCUUAGUGCAGAUUGGGGGCUGCAACUCGCCCCCAUGAAGGCGGAGUUGCUAGUAACCGCGUGUCAGCAGAGCGCGGUGAAUACGUACCCGGGCCUUGUACACACCGCCCGU